AGAGUUUGAUCAUGGCUCAGAACGAACGCUGGCGGCGUGCUUAACACAUGCAAGUCGAGUGCGCGGUUGUAGCAAUACAACUGGCGCACGGCGCACGGGUGCGUAACACGUGGGCAAUCUGCCCUUCGAUGGGGAAUAACUCCGGGAAACCGAAGCUAAUUCCGCAUAACAUUCCUUGGACUUCGGUUCGAGGACUCAAAGCCGUAAGGCGUCGAAGGAGGAGCCCGCGCCCGAUUAGCUAGUUGGUGAGGUAACGGCUCACCAAGGCAAUGAUCGGUAGCUGGUCUGAGAGGAUGGCCAGCCACACUGGAACUGAGACACGGUCCAGACUCCUACGGGAGGCAGCAGUGGGGAAUCUUGCGCAAUGGGCGAAAGCCUGACGCAGCGACGCCGCGUGGGGGAUGAAGCAUUUCGGUGUGUAAACCCCUUUCGACUGGGACGAAUACCUCGCAAGAGGGGUGACGGUGCCAGUAGAAGAAGCCCCGGCUAACUACGUGCCAGCAGCCGCGGUAAGACGUAGGGGGCCAGCGUUGUUCGGAAUUACUGGGUGUAAAGGGUUCGUAGGCGGUGUGGCAAGUCGGGAGUGAAAUCUAUGGGCUUAACCCAUAGGCUGCUUCCGAAACUGCCGUGCUUGAGUGUGGGAGAGGCGCGUGGAAUUGCAGGUGUAGCGGUGAAAUGCGUAGAUAUCUGCAGGAACACCCGUGGCGAAAGCGGCGCGCUGGACCACUACUGACGCUGAGGAACGAAAGCUAGGGGAGCAAACAGGAUUAGAUACCCNNGUAGUCC
rnacentral:rRNA from 1 species